AAUCAUUUAUUAGCAAUCCAUGUAAACAACUUUAGACCAAUCAAAUUUAAGAAAAGAAAAUGUACAAGUUUUACAAAACAAUGUACUAUUGAUGAAGUUUUGUAUCUUUGGCUCCCUCUAGUUUCUUGCUAGGGGUUGUCUUUUAAUAAAAUUGUCUAUUCAAAAAAAAAAAAAAAAGUACUCUUAAAUAAGCUCAAAAUAACACAGUUUAGAACGGAUACAAAACAAUGCACUGUUAAUGACUUUUUCAUUCCAUGACCUUUGAUUUGCCUCAAACCCCUAUUUUAACGUUUUACACCUUUGUCAAAAAUCAUCAGCCGUCAACAACAUAUCUCUCUUUCUCUCCCUAUUUCCCUCUCUCUUUGAGAAACCCUAAUACACCACCGUGUCAAUGACAUUUCACAGCAGCCACUGUCGUCUCCACCAAGAUUAUGGGUUGAUAAAUGACCUUAUUGAUUUAUAAAUGAAAUUGAUGAUUACAUGAUGAAAUAUAAAUGAAAUGAAAUCAUGACUCUCGGGAGAAGACCAGAAGUCUAGAAGUUGAGUCAUCGAGUCCAAUGUAAAAACAAUUUAGUCUUUGCCUUUUCUCUUUGGACUUCUGAUUGGAAUUUAAUGUAAACUGUAGGCAAUAUAAAAUAUAAAUUUAUAUUUCUAAAAUUUAUAUGGGACGGGUUAUAAACGCAACGGAUCGGUGAUGAUCUAUACCCGACCCUUUUAAUAAAAGGGUUAGCGGGUACGGGUCGUUAGCGGGUAAACGGAUCAAAAACUAUGCUCCAAACCCGUAUAAUUGUUAAGGGUUUGGAUCGGAUCAUGGUCAAAACCUGCUCCAUUGCCAGGCCUACAUGGUGGUGAGGCUGCGACCAGAUUAUUGUGUGGAAGACGGUUCUUUGCUAUUUUUACUGUGGAUAUAAUUUCUAAUGUAUAUAUACGGGUUGUAGAGUUUGUUGGUGGCAUGGAUUCUUUUAUUAUUGAUAAGCCUUUGGCUCUACUUUUUAGUGUUUAUAUCCUUUAUUAAAAUUAUAGUAAUGGUAAUUUCCAUGCUUUGCAUGAUCAUAUUUUAAA